UUUCUACCUUUAAUGGAUUGUCAAGUUUGUAUCCAGAAACCCCAACAAAGAUUUCAGAAAUGACGAGAUCUAGGUUUCUUUAUUUAUUGUUGCCAUCAUCUUUCUCGGAUUCCUGAGAAAAAAACUGAAGAAGCUGAAGGAAAUCCAUUCACUUGCAGAGAUAAUGCAACGAUUUCUAUCGUUGCAAUUGUUUAUAGUGGGAAACCUGAUCGCAGAGCCCUUUUGCAAUAUUUUAUGGUGACAGGAUGUAUUUAUGGAGUUUGCUUACCUUGGGCUAAUAACUUAUUGAAGGGUGCAUACAGUUUGGGAGGAGGAGCACAUUGAUUUGUUAAGAUAAUAAACAUGUCAUUAUGUUCAAAUAAUAAUGUGUAAAUAGUAUGAGGAACAUCAACUUGUCAUUAUGUGCAAAUAAUAAAGAAUAAAUGGCACGAGGAAUAUCAUCUUUGUCAUCGACAGUAAAGAAUAAUUGACAUGAAGAAAUCAACUUGUCAUAGAUAGUGUUGUUAAAAUAGUUGCAUCUGCCAUUUAAAUAUAAUAGUAAUUUCUUUAAGAUUUGUUAGUAA